rnacentral:rRNA from 1 species
GACGAACGCUGGCGGCGUGCUUAACACAUGCAAGUCGAACGGUGAAGCGCCUUCCUUUUUGGUGGGUGUGGAUGAGUGGCGAACGGGUGAGUAACACGUGAGUAACCUGCCCCCUUCUUCUGGAUAACCGCAUGAAAGUGUGGCUAAUACGGGAUAUUCUGGGUCUGUCGCAUGAUGGGUCUGGGAAAGAUAUUGUUUCGGUUGGGGAUGGGCUCGCGGCCUAUCAGCUUGUUGGUGGGGUGAUGGCCUACCAAGGCGGUGACGGGUAGCCGGCCUGAGAGGGUGGACGGUCACACUGGGACUGCGCCACGGCCCAGACUCCUACGGGAGGCAGCAGUGGGGACUCUUGCACAAUGGGCGCAAGCCUGAUGCAGCGACGCCGCGUGAGGGAUGGAGGCCUUCGGGUUGUGAACCUCUUUCGCCAGUGAAGCAGGCCUGCCUCGUUUGUGGGUGGGUUGACGGUAGCUGGAUAAGAAGCGCCGGCUAACUACGUG